CCCUGGUUAGCUCAGUUGGUAGAGCGCUCCACCAGUAAUGGAGAGGUCGCGGGUUCGAUCCACUGACCAGGCG
rnacentral:tRNA from 1 species